rnacentral:rRNA from 1 species
CCAGACUCCUACGGGAGGCAGCAGUGGGGAAUAUUGGGCAAUGGGCGCAAGCCUGACCCAGCAACGCCGCGUGAAGGAAGAAGGCUUUCGGGUUGUAAACUUCUUUUCUCAGGGACGAAGAAAGUGACGGUACCUGAGGAAUAAGCCACGGCUAACUACGUGCCAGCAGCCGCGGUAAUACGUAGGUGGCAAGCGUUAUCCGGAUUUACUGGGCGUAAAGGGCGUGUAGGCGGGACUGCAAGUCAGAUGUGAAAACCAUGGGCUCAACCUGUGGCCUGCAUUUGAAACUGUAGUUCUUGAGUACUGGAGAGGCAGACGGAAUUCCUAGUGUAGCGGUGAAAUGCGUAGAUAUUAGGAGGAACACCAGUGGCGAAGGCGGCCUGCUGGACGAUGACUGACGUUGAGGCUCGAAAGCGUGGGGAGCAAACAGGAUUAGAUACCCGAGUA